rnacentral:lncRNA from 1 species
GGGAGACGGCGCCCAACCUUCCUCUGCAGCGCCCCUACCGACCCGCGCUCCGCAGCUCCUGAGGGCUUUCGAGCCCAGAUGGUCAUCUGAGACGAGAGGUGGCGGCGAAGGAGAGUCUCGCCUGUCACGCUCCCGGAGCAGGGGCUUCAUGAGGUGGCCAUGGAAACAGCCUGGCAGACUCCCAUCUCUCCUGGUGCCAUCUCCGGAGCGGAAAGUGGAGCGCCCCGCUGGCGACCAAGGCCGCACUGAGAGCCCUGGUUUGGUCAACAGUUGGGCUCCAAGUCUACAGGUUUCUAGGCCCUUGGUGAGUGAAGAGCAGUUCAUUACGAAAUGACCUCCAAGAACAAGGCUCAGCAUUCUCUGAAAUCUCAUGAAGCAGUGUAACCAGCUCUCAAGUAUCUUCCUGUGAACUAGCCACAGGGAGCCCUGGUAUUCCUUGAACAUGCAUACCUUUCCCAGCGUGAGGGACAUGGACCGUGCCGUGCGAGGGACCCCAUCUUCUGCAGCAGGAGGGAGCAGAGAAGAGAACACAGCCACCCUCAUCAGCCAGAGUUCAAACCCUGACAGUGCCCAUGGAGAGAUCUGGUCCAAGGCACCAACCUCUUCCUGCUGGACUGAGAAAGAGCCUCCUACUGUGUCUCUCUUUACCUCAGCUUUUGCACACCUCCAAUAUAUUGUCCACUGAAGUCAGAAUAAUCUAAAAAUAAAGGCUGAUUACCU